UGGUGGGAUUUUUUCAGUCUUCUAAAUUGGUUUUGAGUUUUUUCUCUCCUGCUUU
rnacentral:tRNA from 1 species